CCAGGUUGCUUUUAUGCCUUCUGUUGGGGGCCUGGGGAGAAGAGAGUGGGGGUGGGAAGAGGCUCCCAGCAUCCCAGCCAGACCUUCAGAUCAGAUGUGCUGAGGUUUACCAGGGAGGCGCGGGGGCCGACGGGAGUUCAUCCAGAGGGGAAAGUUCAUUCCCAAUCUGGGGGAAGUGCAGCUGGCAGCGAGAGGGUUAUUUUUUCCUUGGGAGGAAAUAGCCAAGAGUGAAGUGGAGGAAACGGUUUGUGCAAACGGGGGCUGUCUUGCCUCUGGACGCAUCACCAGGUAGCUUAAUCACGGAGGGGGUGACGUGGGAGAGCAGAGGCCUCCCCCUUUCUUGCUGGGACUCCUCUGGCCUUGCUUGUUCUUUCUUUGAAACUAAAAAAUGGAGCAGGGCCACCACCCCGAGCCACCGCCCCAGCAUGGCAGCCUUUCCUCUCAUACUUCAUCUCUCAGAAGCCAGCCUGGCAGCUCCAAAGGCUGUCUACAACCAAGCAGGAGGUGAAGGAAUUACACCAGAGGAGCUGCAAAAUGUAAAAGGACUGCAAAGACUUAACACCCCACCUCCAGCAAGCACAGAACCACAUAGCCAGAUGUUUUCGGAGAGGGACCUGAUCAAAGUGACGUGAUCCAACGAUGACAGACUAUCAGGAGGGGAGAGGAGCUGCUGGUGUGUGAGGAUCCCUGGACCCAAACUUAUCAGCACGGCUUUGAUUCUCACUCAGUACUUAUAGUAGGAGGGUCUCUUGUUCAGGCCCAGGUGCCAGCAUUGCCAGAAGACAACCUGCCUGAAAGUUUUGGCCUAAAAUGGCAGGGGUCUUGUGAGAUUUGGGCCCCUUUGAAUAUGGGCCAGAAGCUCAACGCUAAAUCUGACCUGGCCUCAAUUCUGAAGUGUGGGCUCAUGUGUCCAUCUCAUCCAGAUCUUGAUGUGAGCUCCAUCCCCUUGUGCCACUCAAAUAUUCAGGUGAGUGCUGAGGCCUGGAGUCUGCCUAUGCCUGGGACAAGAGCAGCUUCCUUCACACCCUGCCCUCUGCCAGUUCAUGGUUUAUGGUGUGGCCAGGCCUUUGGCUUACAAUGCUGGUCUCAUCCUUUGGACACCUGUCUCUGAGACCACAUGGCAUGCUGACUGGCACGGAUGCGCUUGUACUGGGUCUGGUCCCGAGCUUAUUCUCGGCUCUGACAUUUGUGCCUAACAGGCUGAGCACGUUGCAUAUAUUUGUGAUAUCGGGAGGGGGCCAGGAGUGGUGUGAAAGGGAAUCUGAGCAUCUCCUGUUUCAGCCUGACCUUGAAACCAGAGUUUGGAUGGGGAGGCCCCCCUCCCCGGGUGCAGGACAAGCACUUGGGAGCUCAAAAUUUGGCAUAUCUAGAAUACAAAUUAAUACCUCUGGAGGCUGCAGCUAGAUGAGAAUGUGUAUGCCUAAGGAUGCCUUAAAGGCCUCUGCAAAAUAGCUGAAAGAACAGCAAACUAAAUCUAGCAAACUAAAUCUAGCAUGUGCUAGUGUCCAUUACUGGAAAACUCAGAAACCCGAGAUAUGGACAAAGUGCUAGCAGCACUUAUGAGGUGCCGGUGCCACAUGUCAGCGAUGUCAUUUAAAAAGAUGGUACCAAACUCCCUAAGCUGCCAUCUCCUAUGCAAAGCAGAGCAGAUUUUUAAACCGCGUUCACUUAUUCUCAGUUAACAACCAUUUUGGCAUUCAUGAAGGGUGCCCAACUGAGUUUUUUCUUGUCGAGUAUUGCAUUCAGAUUCUUGGCUUCCGUUUCCAGGUGACUGUGUGACGCCGAGCAAAUUAUUAGUAUCAGUAUUAUUAUUAUUCCUCUGGUUCAUGGCAUGUUCUGGUGCAUGUAAAGAACAUGACAGGUGGUCAACAGCCAAAUCAUGCCUGCUUGCUCCCAGAGAACAUUUUGUGUAGUCCUCGGUGUAGUAACACACCUUUUUUUGAGGGUCGGAGAUAGCUCACUCCAUUUCUAUUGUUCUGGAGUUUCCCUGUUGAUCCUCAUAUAACUCCAUUCAUGGACAGCAGUCUUAGCACCACGUUCAUUUUGUUCAAGGCACCAGAUCACCUUCCCUUCUAGACCAGACCAUGGUACCUUCUUAGCUUCACCCCAGCGUUGCGCUGUACGUUAUUAUCCAAAGAGCAAGCAUGAAAAAUGCUGUUCUGGCCUGAUGGUGGUGGUGAGUUGUGAAGCCUGUAACGGUCAUUAUUUCCUGGUACAACCCCAUCUUCCAACACUGAGGUAGUCCGUCGUUGUACCAAGUUGAGGGCAUGCCUUCCCCUCCUCUUUCUUCUUCCCCCUCAUGGGGUUUUCAAAAGCAUAGCUGAGUAGCAAGUUGGCACCCAUCUGCCAUGCUGAGGUGGCUUGCUGCAAAUUUGUGCCUCUGAACAAUACCAUAAGACUUAGAUCCUCCAGGCAGUCCCCAUCUCAUUAAGUGUUGUGUGUGCAUAUAACAAAAUGACUCAGUUAACCGGUGCCUCAGAUGCUCAUGCCUGAAGAAAGGAGGCUAGCAUUCACCCACCCUUGUUACGGUGCUGAGCAAUCUCAAGCGGAAAAGUGCAAGUUGCUAUUAUUUUAGUGACUUUUCUCACAGCCUUUGGAUGGGACUGAGGAGCAGUUCUCAUGCUGUUGGGACAGCUUGGUUACUCUGUUGCAAACAGCAAGCCUUCCUGAUUUUGGAAAGCUGUCUAAUUAAGUCGGAGACAAGAAUGGGAAAGUCCCCUCUGCAACAGAGGAACAAAACAAAACCUAAUUUCCGAAAGCCCAGUACAAGCCCAGUAAGUCUGUAAUGUGGUGUCCUGUUUCCUAAUCUCGUCAGUAAGGAAGCAGUGUGUUGAAUUUAAAAUAUCCCUCUGGUAAAUGCUAACUAUUUAAAGAGUGCUAGGGUCUUAGAAAUGCAAAACAAAGAUUUGUUGAUUAAAAACACAUGGUUCAUUCUGGAGACAUGAGUAGCCAGAAAAAUCAGAUUUGACAGUAUUUUGGCUUUUGUAUCCCGCAAGACAUGAUGGUGAUUUAUUAUAGUGAUGUCAGCUGUGGUUGAAAAAGUUCCCUGUGUUGUCUUAAUAAAAGAGCUUUACCUUGAAAUCAUUAAACUCUCAGCCUGUUUAUUUGAAGAGAUGACUGUGAAUGCGAAUGGUCCCUCUAAAUCACUCACUUCUUCCCCACAACAUAUGCUGGUGCAUGAGGUGAUGUGACAGCUUGGAGCUUGCCUUGCUAAUGCAGGUCUUGUGAUGGAUAUGAUUAGCGUGGGGUGGCU